rnacentral:rRNA from 1 species
UACGUAGGGCGCAAACGUUAUCCGGAAUUAUUGGGCGUAAAGAGCUCGUAGGUGGUUUGUCGCGUUGUCCGUGAAAACUCACAACUCAAUUGUGGGCGUGCGGGCGAUACGGGCAGACUGGAGUACUGCAGGGGAGACUGGAAUUCCUGGUGUAGCGGUGGAAUGCGCAGAUAUCAGGAGGAACACCGGUAGCGAAGGCGGGUCUCUGGGCAGUAACUGACGCUGAGGAGCGAAAGCGUGGGGAGCGAACAGG